AGAUGAUUUCCUGUUACAGAAGUUGAGGAAAUCUGACGUGAAUGUCUUAAAGGAAACAGCUGCAGCGACAAUCAGAGAAAGGACUGUCACACAUGAAGACAAAUUUUGAAAGGAAACAUGAAUUUAUGCGGCAAGAGGAGAAGGUGCUGAUUGUAUGGCCGUGAAAUGGCUAAAUUUUCACCCAUGAUUCCAAGCCCAGACUACUGCCAAAGAGGUGGAUCAGGAGGAACAGCCUGUGGAUUUUCUGCAACUGACCAAUCUCUUAGAGGUUGGCAGAAAGAAGAAUACCGGAACCAAUGAUUUCCAAUC